ACUUUUACCUUCGGGUAGACAAUGGAUACAGGUGGUGCAUGGUUGUCGUCAGCUCGUGUCGUGAGAUGUUGGGUUAAGUCCCGCAACGAGCGCAACCCUUGUCGAUAGUUACCAGCAGUAAGAUGGGGACUCUAUCGAGACAGCUAAGGACAACUUAGAGGAAGGUGGGGAUGACGUCAAAUCAUCACGCCCCUUAUGUUUAGGGCUACACACGUGCUACAAUGGUCAUUACAGAGAGAAGCGAAACUGCGAAGUCAAGCAAACCUCAAAAAGAUGAUCCAAGUUCGGAUUGUAGGCUGAAACUCGCCUACAUGAAGUUGGAGUUGCCAGUAAUCGCGAAUCAGAAUGUCGCGGUGAAUGCGUUCCCGGGUCUUGUACACCCCGCCCGUCACACCAUGGGAGUUUGGGGGGCCCAAAGUCAGCGACUCAACCGCAAGGAGAGAGCUGCCCAAGCAAACCAAAUGGGGGGGU
rnacentral:rRNA from 1 species